rnacentral:snRNA from 1 species
GUGCUUGCUUCGGCAGCAUGUAUACUAAAAUUGGAAUGAUACAGAGAAGAAUGCCAUGACGUCUACACAAGGAUGACAUGCAAAUUCGGGAAGCAGUCCAUAUUUUU